UCAUUGAAUUAUUUUUAGUACUUAAGAAGCUUAACAGUUGAUAGACUAACGCACCCUCGAGGCCACCACAUAUUUGUUCAUAUUCACCAAUGCAGUGCUGUGCAGGUGCACACAUACAGAGUGUAAUUUGCUCUAAAUCAGAAAUAAAGGUUAAAACCGGACUGUUCACUCGAAUCUUUUAACCAAGAAUGUAUGUUAAGGUUUUAAACCGAGUUAUGGUUACUUUUACAACUGAGCCAAUAACUUAUACAAUCUGAUACAGGCAUUUAUAUUGGUGGUAACCAUGUCAUUCACUACACCCCGAGAGUAAAUGAUAGCGCGUGCUUAAAACAUCCUAACUGUGGAUUUCAGAAACCUGGAAGCGGAGUGGUUUUAUCUUGUUUGGAUUGUUUCGCGGGAAGUAGAUCCUUGUACCUCUUCCAGUAUGAAUUGAGACCAUAUGUGCACAUCUUAAAAUUUCGUGGUGGCACAUGCACUACAAAAUGGAUUUGGACGUUAUCACCUCACUGGAAACAACUGUGAGGAUUUUGCUUUGUAUUGUAAGACAAGCCUGUUGGGCCGUGAACGCACCGGAAGCAGUGGCCAGGUGAGUAGCUGGGUUAAUGUACCAUUGGCGGUCGCUGUUUAUAUACUCCUUAACAAUUCCUUUUGGGCUGCAAUCACGGUGCGUUGUUUAAACCAUUACAUGACUGAUAUUGGUGUUCGAGAUGAUAUGGUUAGGAUUAAGGCGGAGGAUGUUAUCAGUUUACAUUUUGUGUAGAUUUAAAUUUUUUUUCUGUUAAUUAUCAUUCAGGUUUAUUUAUAGGAUCUAUCACUAGCAUAUCAAGUCAUGUAUACAUACCCUAAUCAGCAGUGUUAAAAAACAUGGAUACAACAAAGUUUCUUUUUAUAGGAUCUAUCACUAGCAUUUGAAUUUUAUUUAGUAAAUCAGGCAAGAUAAAAUAUCGUUUAAAAUUGCAAGUUUUAGAAAUUAAAAUAUAAUCCAUCGUCCUUGGAGAAAAACAAGAAAAUCAACAUGAUGAUUCAGUUGCACUUCAUAAUAGUUUCAUCUCACACGAUUGACUACAUCACAGGAUUCUUAACAGACUUGAUAUUUUUAAGGAUAUAUGAUUACUUUUGUUUUUCCUUUUGAACUGCCUACAUGUUCCGGUAUGUCUUGUCUUGAUGUUUAGAUUAUCCUUUGUUUUGCUCGAGCUUAAUUACAUAUUAUUCAGUCCCUGCUUCUAUGUUUAUCAAUUUGAAACAAUGUUUCUUUUUAUAGAAGAUGUUUCAAACAAGUAACAUACAAAGAUUAUAAUUUGAUUUGGGUAUUUACCUCUUUUUGUUGGCCGACUGUGUACUAUUAGAGUAGCAAUUAGAGUUUGUUACUUUCAGUUAUCUUAGUUGCUUAGUUGAUUGUAGUUAUCCGCUAUAUAUAUAGCUCACCGUAAAUGGAGAUCAGCUUUGGUUCGGAUACUGACUAAAAAUGAAUUGUGGUUUUUAUAAAAAGCAAAAAACGAGAAAACCUUUGAAAGAAAUUAUUUCUUUGGAUAAAAAAAUAGGGUGAAAUAGGGAUAACUGGUGUUUGUUUCAGAUCUAUUUCUAAAGUCGAAUUAUGCUCUAACCCCUGACUGGAGCUGUUUAGUUUGCCUAUAUAUAUUAUGAUUUUGUUGCCGGUCAAAGAAAAAAAAAAGGUCCCUGUAUUUGUUAAGUGAAAAAGUAAAAUAAUAAAACAUACUUUCCAAAGCUUUCCAGGUGAGACUCAUAGAGGUUGCACGAAUUUUUGUACCUGAUCAUCAAUGUCUCGGCUGAAAUGGGUGGGAGUUUGUACAGUUGCUGUAAUUGCCGAAAUCAUGUUGCUCUCGUGAUGAGAUACUUUCCAAAGCUUUCCAGAUUGAAACACUUAAAGCUUGACGCUCUCCUGAAAUUGUAUAGUUUUGAUUCUGGGGAGAAAUGGUAGAUCAUUUCUUUUCUACCAUGCAAUGAAAGUCUUCACUGGACCGAAAGAAGACAGACGCUUCAUGACUGGUCUUCACACAGUUGCGGAUGUUUAUUAUUGUGGUUGCCAUGAAGUGUUAGGUUGGAAGUAUAUACGAGCAUAUGACUUAAGACCGAAGUACAAGGAAAAAUCAUUCUCGAGAAUUCAAGAAUAGCAUCACAAUGCAUCCAUCAUACUAUUUAUUUUUAAUGUACGGAAUAAUAGCUAAGUUUUUGUAUAAUAUCUUACAAUAAUGAAAUGAAAUGUAGUUUGACCAUGUGGCUAUGUUAAUA